rnacentral:rRNA from 1 species
AGUGAACGCUGGCGGCAGGCCUAACACAUGCAAGUCGAGCGGCAGCGCGUCCGACCACCCUCGGGUGGUCGGAUGGCGGCGAGCGGCGGACGGGUGAGGAAUGCAUCGGAAUCUGCCUCGUUGUGGGGGGAUAACGUAGGGAAACUUACGCUAAUACCGCAUACGACCUACGGGUGAAAGUGGGGGACCUUCGGGCCUCACGCGAUGAGAUGAGCCGAUGCCGGAUUAGCUAGUUGGCGGGGUAAAGGCCCACCAAGGCGACGAUCCGUAGCUGGUCUGAGAGGAUGAUCAGCCACACUGGAACCGAGACACGGUCCAGACUCCUACGGGAGGCAGCAGUGGGGAAUAUUGGACAAUGGGGGCAACCCUGAUCCAGCCAUGCCGCGUGUGUGAAGAAGGCCUU